rnacentral:rRNA from 1 species
GUCCACGCCCUAAACGAUGAUGACUAGUUGUUGGAGGAGUUAAAUCCUUUAGUAACGCAGCUAACGCGAGAAGUCAUCCGCCUGGGGAGUACGGUCGCAAGAUUAAAACUCAAAGGAAUUGACGGGGGCCCGCACAAGCGGUGGAUGAUGUGGUUUAAUUCGACGCAACGCGAAAACCUUACCUACCCUUGACAUGUCAGGAACUCUGCAGAGAUGCAGAGGUGCCCGAAAGGGAGCCUGAACACAGGUGCUGCAUGGCUGUCGU